GAUGAACGCUGGCGGCGUGCCUAAUACAUGCAAGUCGAGCGAACAGACGAGGAGCUUGCUCCUUCGACGUUAGCGGCGGACGGGUGAGUAACACGUAGGUAACCUACCUAUAAGACUGGGAUAACUUCGGGAAACCGGAGCUAAGACCGGAUAAUAUUUCGAACAGCAUGGUUCGAUAGUGAAAGAUGGCUUUGCUAUCACUUAUAGAUGGACCUGCGCCGUAUUAGCUAGUUGGUAAGGUAACGGCUUACCAAGGCAACGAUACGUAGCCGACCUGAGAGGGUGAUCGGCCACACUGGAACUGAGACACGGUCCAGACUCCUACGGGAGGCAGCAGUAGGGAAUCUGCCGCAAUGGGCGAAAGCCUGACGGAGCAACGCCGCGUGAGUGAUGAAGGUCUUCGGAUCGUAAAACUCUGUUAUUAGGGAAGAACAACCGUGUAAGUAACUGUGCACGUCUUGACGGUACCUAAUCAGAAAGCCACGGCUAACUACGUG
rnacentral:rRNA from 1 species